UUUUCUUCUCUAGAAAGUCCGGCAUCCAAGAUUUGCCAAGCUAAUUCGGGCCUGGGAAGAACCCGUGAUAAACACAGAGGCAAAAGAUGGUGUUUUGAAACCAGGAACUAGCACCGUCUUUGAGGACCAUAAUUCUAAUAGUGAAAAUGAAGAUGCAGUUAGAACCUUUUCCCAACCAUCCACUGAAGUUUCAGGCUUUUCUCAUCCUGCCUUCCCAGCACCGGAACCUCUCACGUCUUCAGUAGUCCUUGGUGUUUCAGAGGGAGAGGCAACAAAGCCAAAAACUGGGGGAAAAGAGAACGGCCCUCGGACAAUUAACAGUGUUCUAAAGGAGCAAGCAGAUCAGAGCAAGUUGAU